AAAGUGAGCGACCAAGGAGCCAUCCAGUGCCUUUGCUUCAGUCCGGAACUAGAAAAGGAAAUGCCAGAGACCGAAGGCAUUGUUCCCUCGGACUAUAAAGCUGGGAGACAGCUUGGAGAGGGAGCAGAAGACAAAUUUGCGUGAAAUGGUCAGGAAGCAAAAGUACGAUGCCUUCUUAUAAUGGAUAGGGCAGCAAAAAACAGCAACAGAAGUGGGCAUGGCCAAGUCUGUGGAGAAAACCAAAGAGGGCUGCACAGAAGAGGUGUCAGGAGCACGGCAGAUGGGGAUAAAAGGAGGCCAGCCUGAGAGGACGUAGUCACCGAUAACAGAAUGAGGAAGAAGGGUGAAGCACAUGGAUCUUGUCUCCUCAAGUUGAAGCCUUCUUUGAUCCCCGACCACGUUGCCUUUCUUGAUCCGUGACAGUGAGGCCUGUUUCCACUCGGCAUAGUGCUUCAACACAGUGUCAUCAACACAGACUUCCUUCAGGCCAGUGGACUUAAAAACUGAUGAGACUGAACUUGGGCUUCUUGUCCUGGAAGCUACGUCCUUAAACGAUAUUGCUCCCAUUUUAAAGCGCCCUUAACUACAAUGCCAACUUCGGGGUUUAAGGGAGAUCCACAUUUGGCACAGCACUGACAGUGUGAUUCAGCUUCUAUUAUUUCUGCAAAUGGGGAGAGAGGAUAUUUCUAGGUCCUCCAUGAGUUCGUGCAACAACCUGGAAGAUGCCUGGAUUUCGGUGACCGGAAAAUUGCUCUCACCUCCGUGUCAUUACGUUCCCAGUGAACUAGCCCCUAAGCGUGUUUGUGUUGGGGAUCUAAUAUAUUGCCUUUCAAUCAGAGCUGAGAGCCACUGAACACACAGACAGAACAUGACGAGCAGGUCAGGAAAGCAAUAAAGAUUUUACAGAGCUGUCCAAGGUGCUAAAUUUACUCAAUAAUGGGUUUGGCACCAUAGUGUUAACCUCUCAUUUACUACCAGUUUGAGGGACUAAAUUGAAGUAGCUGACUUCAUUUACCUUGAAAUGUAUAUUUUAUGACAUUAUGUAAGUAGAUUGAAAGGGCACUGCAGUUUUAACAAUUUAAAGGCUAAAGCGUGUUUAAGAUGAAACUUGAAUAUUUAUUGUAUAUUGCACUUAAAGUAUAUAGAAUGUUAAAAUGUAUUGAUUAAAUUUGUAAAAGGCAUUAUAAAAAUGACAGGUAGUAUA